UGGCUCAGAUUGAACGCUGGCGGAAUGCUUUACACAUGCAAGUCGAACGGCAGCACGGACUUCGGUCUGGUGGCGAGUGGCGAACGGGUGAGUAAUAUAUCGGAACGUAUCCAAUAAUGGGGGAUAACUAAUCGAAAGGUUGGCUAAUACCGCAUACGCCCUACGGGGGAAAGCUAGGGAUCUUCGGACCUGGCGUUAAUGGAGCGGCCGAUAUCUGAUUAGCUAGUUGGUGGGGUAAAGGCCCACCAAGGCGACGAUCAGUAGCUGGUCUGAGAGGACGACCAGCCACACUGGAACUGAGACACGGUCCAGACUCUUACGGGAGGCAGCAGUGGGGAAUUUUGGACAAUGGGCGCAAGCCUGAUCCAGCCAUUCCGCGUGAGUGAAGAAGGCCUUCGGGUUGUAAAGCUCUUUCGCAAGGGAAGAAAACUUAGCCACUAACAUUGGUUGAGGUUGACGGUACCUUGAUAAGAAGCACCGGCUAACUACGUGCCAGCAGCCGCGGUAAUACGUAGGGUGCGAGCGUUAAUCGGAAUUACUGGGCGUAAAGCGUGCGCAGGCGGUUUUGUAAGUCAGAUGUGAAAUCCCCGAGCUCAACUUGGGAACUGCGUUUGAAACUACAAGACUAGAAUAUGUCAGAGGGGGGUAGAAUUCCACGUGUAGCAGUGAAAUGCGUAGAGAUGUGGAG
rnacentral:rRNA from 1 species